AUUGAACGCUGGCGGCAGGCCUAACACAUGCAAGUCGGACGGUAGCACAGAGAGCUUGCUCUCGGGUGACGAGUGGCGGACGGGUGAGUAAUGUCUGGGGAUCUGCCCGAUAGAGGGGGAUAACCACUGGAAACGGUGGUUAAUACCGCAUAACGUCGCAAGACCAAAGAGGGGGACCUUCGGGCCUCUCACUAUCGCAUGAACCCAGAUGGGUUUAGCUAGUCGGCGGGGUAAUGGCCCACCUAGGCGACGAUCCCUAGCUGGUCUGAGAGGAUGACCAGCCACACUGGAACUGAGACACGGUCCAGACUCCUACGGGAGGCAGCAGUGGGGAAUAUUGCACAAUGGGCGCAAGCCUGAUGCAGCCAUGCCGCGUGUAUGAAGAAGGCCUUCGGGUUGUAAAGUACUUUCAGCGGGGAGGAAGGCGAUGCGGUUAAUAACCGUGUCGAUUGACGUUACCCGCAGAAGAAGCACCGGCUAACUCCGUGCCAGCCGCCGCCGUAA
rnacentral:rRNA from 1 species